AACACGAUGUUAGUUUGUCAAUAAAAGUAAGCCCUGCGAAAAAAAGAAAGCAAUUCGGUAUAAGUCCUGACACGACUGCUGUAAAGAAAGCGAAGUGCACCGAAUCCACAGCGACAGAUCAUCCAUCAGAGGAAAACUUUGUCGCAGUUGCUUAUACAGACAGCCCAUUGUUUUUUGUUGGUAAAAUUGUAGAUGAGACAAAGGGCAAUGUUCUGUCUGUUUCUUUUUUGGAAGAAGAUA